rnacentral:lncRNA from 1 species
AUUGAACUCUCUUAUCCCUUUGAUCUUCUUUUGGUAACCUAUUUGGUAAAGUGAAGAGAUGAUGUCCGUCACUCUGGGAGAGAUAAACUUGGUAGAAGGAUGAACCAGUAGAUUGAUUGCAGUUAAGAACUUAUCUUUGGUCAAGAUGACCAGAGAAUCAUCCAUUAAGUUCAGAUGAACUUCUUGCAGAUUGUUGAGGGGACGAUACGCCGAGAAUGCACAUUUAAAGAGUGUUAACAUUGGAACCACAUCAGUGAAGGAAUCAAAGGGUCCAAACAGUGGGUGAUUGGUGAUGAACCUGAUCAUGAAUUGAAUAGACUCAUUGUAGGAGGAAUGAUCUUAAAAGAUUGCCCUAAAGGUGCUUGAGGCGAUGGAUGGCGAUUAGUUCCUUGUGGCGGAAUCAGAACUAGCGGGUUGUGCAUAACCUGAAGCUUUGGAUUGCUUCUUUGAGAUGCCAGACUUCACCAUUUUUGAAAAGAGUUUGUAGAACUUGUAGAAAACUUGAGUGCAAGAAGGUGAAGAAGAUGAAGAUCGUCUAAGAGGGUUCAGAAAGCGUAAUGCUUUCUUGGAAGAGAGAAAAAGGUUUUAUAGGGGCGGAUUUCAAAAUUUUAUUGUUUUUACCCUAUAUGUGGCGGUUAAAUAUAANGAAUGUAUUGAAGGAAAUCAUCCCAUAAGAUCUGGCCAUAGUUAGCGUCGUGGCCUGUGAAGAUACUCCAGACUAGCUCCAACAGUUUGAGGCCCAUGUUGUCAGUGCCUACGGUUCUUCCUGAUAGACCGUGGAUCACAUAGUGACAAACGAACAGCCAGACCGUAGGGAGUUGGUUUUUAUUGAACUCUCUUAUCCCUUUGAUCUUCUUUUGGUAACCUAUUUGGUAAAGUGAAGAGAUGAUGUCCGUCACUCUGGGAGAGAUAAACUUGGUAGAAGGAUGAACCAGUAGAUUGAUUGCAGUUAAGAACUUAUCUUUGGUCAAGAUGACCAGAGAAUCAUCCAUUAAGUUCAGAUGAACUUCUUGCAGAUUGUUGAGGGGACGAUACGCCGAGAAUGCACAUUUAAAGAGUGUUAACAUUGGAACCACAUCAGUGAAGGAAUCAAAGGGUCCAAACAGUGGGUGAUUGGUG